CAAGAAAAUAUUUAAAUACAAACAAUUUUUUAUUUUCUAUAUAAUAACUAGACAACUUUCGAUAAUUCAAGUUUUAAUAAAUGUGUUUCAAACUUUUAUUUUAUUGUAUUGAGUUUACGGUCAGACAUAAGAUGAAAUUAUAGUAAAAUUAUUGUAUAUGUCGUUGGUUUGUCCAAACUUAGAAUUUGCGGCGGCUGUUUGUCCUUGAAAGAGUAAAAUUUGGGGCAUUUGAGACAAUUAGAUAUAUGUGCAAUCUUUUAGGUUUCCUGGAUGGCUGUAAAAGUUAUAUAAUAUAUAUUUAGGUCGUAAAUAUAACCAAUGGGAUAACGAGAAUGAGAGUGCGUUUUUUCAAAGGUUUAUGGAGUAUAUUAGUUCAAAUAUAGGAUAUCCAAGUCGACAAGAAAUGACUGAACUUGGAAUAAAAUACGGGUUUGGCUACGGUACAGUUAGAUAUAAAAUCACUAACAAAAGAGCAAAAAAGAUGCGAAUUGUCUCCCAAAGAAUAAACGAUAUUCAAAUGUAAUUUAAUAGAAUUUAAAACAAAAAUCAGACUUAAAAA